UUUUUUUCCUUUAGGAUAUUUUUUAGUUCACCUAUUCUAAACUAUGAAAUCAGAAUAAAAUUUAUUGAUUCUCACACUACAAUAAAAUUAGGUUAUAGAGACACAUAUUUGGGACACUUUUGAGUAAGUGUCCCAUUUAUGCUAAAACUUAAAAACACAUCUACUAAUGCCUAAAUAUAAAGCCCAAUCCAACCAAAAAUAAAAGAUUACUCUACUCAACCCACCACACCCAGUCUAUUUGGCCCGAUUACAAACAGAAAAGAAAAAAAAAGAAAAAUCAAUUACCAUCUUUUCUUCUCUCUUCACUCAAUCCACUGAAAUUCUAGACGAAGACCCUUUACUAUCGUCCUUUUCCGCCACCGCAGCCAACGAGAUAGAGUUUCGGCGGUUGCUAAAUGUUUAAAUAAGUGUUGGUAAAUUAGUAGCACUCCUUUAGGUUAUAGCGACACUCUUUAACUGCCACUAUAUACCUAGCGACCCCACAUAUAGCAACACUUUUUAAAAAUGUCGGUAAUUUUAGCUAGCAGCACUUUUUUGACAUGUACCUACAUUUAAAAGUGUUGCUAUAGACCGUUUUUGUUGUAGUGUCAUAGUUAUUAUUUGUUUUAUUGGAAUUUGAUUUCGGUUUUUAUUCUACUCUAGAAUGGGAAUAUGACCGAAUUCAUUUAUGGCUCAAUUCAGCCUUAAUCCCAAAUUGGUCCAAACCAAAGAAAACUAUUCAAAAUUUUAUUUCACCAACAUCUACCUCCUCUUUUUUUUUAUCAUUUUUCUCUCUCUUAAUCAAAUCCUCUCUCAAAAAUUUAAAAUUUUCAUUUCAAUUUCCAUUUAAAUAAUGAACCAAAUAUUUUUUGAUGUUUCGUCAUUUCAUUUUCCAUUACAAAACAAUCCAAUUUCAUUUUUCAUUCUUAUUCCAAUUAUGAACCAAACAUGUAUGUCCUUAAUGUAAUUGCUUUUUCCAGCGAACAUCUAGUUAAAUACACAAAAACACAUGUAUGUGUGUUGGAUUGUAAGUAGUGGAUGAUAAAUCAAGUGAUAAAUUUAAAUUUUUAAAAGUUUAGAAUAUAAAUUACAAUUUCAAUAGAGUUUAGAUGAUU
rnacentral:lncRNA from 1 species